GGGACCCGGUGGCGGUGCGU
rnacentral:misc_RNA from 1 species